AUUGAACGCUGGCGGAAUGCUUUACACAUGCAAGUCGAACGGCAGCACGGGGGCAACCCUGGUGGCGAGUGGCGAGCGGGUGAGUAAUACAUCGGAACGUGCCCAGUCGUGGGGGAUAACGUAGCGAAAGCUACGCUAAUACCGCAUACGAACUGAGGUUGAAAGCGGGGGAUCGCAAGACCUCGCGCGAUUGGAGCGGCCGAUGGCAGAUUAGGUAGUUGGUGGGGUAAAGGCNCACCAAGCCGACGAUCUGUAGCUGGUCUGAGAGGACGACCAGCCACACUGGGACUGAGACACGGCCCAGACUCCUACGGGAGGCAGCAGUGGGGAAUCUUGCGCAAUGGGCGAAAGCCUGACGCAGCGACGCCGCGUGAGGGAUGACGGCCU
rnacentral:rRNA from 1 species